rnacentral:tRNA from 1 species
AAAAAAGUUUAACGCAGUCAGCAGGAUUCGAACCUACGCGGGCAGAGCCCAAUUGAUUUCUAGUCAAUCUCCUUAACCACUCGGACAUGACUGCUG